rnacentral:rRNA from 1 species
GACGAACGCUGGCGGCGUGCUUAACACAUGCAAGUCGAACGGUGAAGCCCAGCUUGCUGGGUGGAUCAGUGGCGAACGGGUGAGUAACACGUGAGCAACCUGCCCUCCACUUCGGGAUAAGCCUUGGAAACGGGGUCUAAUACCGGAUAUGAGCACUCAUCGCAUGGUGGGUGUUGGAAAGUUUUUCGGUGGGGGAUGGGCUCGCGGCCUAUCAGCUUGUUGGUGGGGUGAUGGCCUACCAAGGCGUCGACGGGUAGCCGGCCUGAGAGGGCGACCGGCCACACUGGGACUGAGACACGGCCCAGACUCCUACGGGAGGCAGCAGUGGGGAAUAUUGCACAAUGGGCGCAAGCCUGAUGCAGCGACGCCGCGUGAGGGAUGACGGCCUUCGGGUUGUAAACCUCUUUCAGCAGGGAAGAAGCGCAAGUGACGGUACCUGCAGAAGAAGCGCCGGCUAACUACGUGCCAGCAGCCGCGGUAAUACGUAGGGCGCAAGCGUUGUCCGGAAUUAUUGGGCGUAAAGAGCUCGUAGGCGGUUUGUCGCGUCUGGUGUGAAAUCCCGAGGCUCAACUUCGGGCUUGCAUCGGGUACGGGCAGACUAGAGUGCGGUAGGGGAGACUGGAAUUCCUGGUGUAGCGGUGGAAUGCGCAGAUAUCAGGAGGAACUCCGAUGGCGAAGGCAGGUCUCUGGGCCGCAACUGACGCUGAGGAGCGAAAGCAUGGGGAGCGAACAGGAUUAGAUACCCUGGUAGUCCAUGCCGUAAACGUUGGGCACUAGGUGUGGGGCUCAUUCCACGAGUUCCGUGCCGCAGCUAACGCAUUAAGUGCCCCGCCUGGGGAGUACGGCCGCAAGGCUAAAACUCAAAGGAAUUGACGGGGGCCCGCACAAGCGGCGGAGCAUGCGGAUUAAUUCGAUGCAACGCGAAGAACCUUACCAAGGCUUGACAUGUACGGGAAUACGCUAGAGAUAGCGGACUCUUUGGACACUCGUACACAGGUGGUGCAUGGUUGCCGUCAGCUCGUGUCGUGAGAUGUUGGGUUAAGUCCCGCAACGAGCGCAACCCUCGUCCUAUGUUGCCAGCGGGUUAUGCCGGGGACUCAUGGGAGACUGCCGGGGUCAACUCGGAGGAAGGUGGGGAUGACGUCAAAUCAUCAUGCCCCUUAUGUCUUGGGCUUCACGCAUGCUACAAUGGCCGGUACAGAGGGCUGCGAUACCGUAAGGUGGAGCGAACCCCAAAAAGCCGGUCUCAGUUCGGAUUGGGGUCUGCAACUCGACCCCAUGAAGUCGGAGUCGCUAGUAAUCGCAGAUCAGCAACGCUGCGGUGAAUACGUUCCCGGGCCUUGUACACACCGC